rnacentral:rRNA from 1 species
CGGGACGGGUGAGUAAUGUCUGGGAAACUGCCUGAUGGAGGGGGAAUAGCUGGAAACGGUAGCUAAUACCGCAUAACGUCGCAAGACCAAAGAGGGGGACCUUCGGGCCUCUUGCCAUCGGAUGUGCCCAGAUGGGAUUAGCUAGUAGGUGGGGUAACGGCUCACCUAGGCGACGAUCCCUAGCUGGUCUGAGAGGAUGACCAGCCACACUGGAACUGAGACACGGUCCAG